UUGGAACAGGAACUCAUGUGAAGCUCCAG
rnacentral:piRNA from 1 species